AUUGAACGCUGGCGGCAUGCUUUACACAUGCAAGUCGAACGGCAGCGCGGGGCAACCUGGCGGCGAGUGGCGAACGGGUGAGUAAUAUAUCGGAACGUACCCAGAAGUGGGGGAUAACGUAGCGAAAGUUACGCUAAUACCGCAUACGAUCUACGGAUGAAAGUAGGGGACCGCAAGGCCUUAUGCUUUUGGAGCGGCCGAUAUCUGAUUAGCUAGUUGGUGAGGUAAAGGCUCACCAAGGCGACGAUCAGUAGCUGGUCUGAGAGGACGACCAGCCACACUGGAACUGAGACACGGUCCAGACUCCUACGGGAGGCAGCAGUGGGGAAUUUUGGACAAUGGGCGCAAGCCUGAUCCAGCAAUGCCGCGUGAGUGAAGAAGGCCUUCGGGUUGUAAAGUUCUUUUGUCAGGGAAGAAACGGUAGAGGCUAAUAUCCUUUGCUAAUGACGGUACCUGAAGAAUAAGCACCGGCUAACUACGUG
rnacentral:rRNA from 1 species